AUGGAGCGACUUUACCCUAGAGUUCAGCCCUUGGCAGAAGGUAUCAUCAUCGCAAUCGCCUUGCAAAGAGUUGAAGGCUCUCUGUGCAAGUUUGCGAGUCAACCCACGCCCUCCCUCUCCCCUGCGUUCCUGGCUCCCGGGAAUCAUGGGCUCCGGGGAGUGGGAGCUAAGGCCGGGGCCACGGGACGACGUCAACGAAACAAUCCCGUCGUGCACGCCCCAGCCACGGUCCUUUCCCCGAUGGGGGAAUUCAAACGGGCCCCAGAGCACGAGAUUGGCUGGAAAAAUGCCCUGAUCGCGGCUGGUCUGCUCGCAUGGCGACGGCUCAGACACCUGGCGGCGGGGUCCGUCGACGUCCGCAGCCUGCUCGCCCGUCGGGCAGCGGUCGAGCCGCGGGAGCCCGUCCGUGGGCAGGGCCGGCGCGGCUCGGGCCGCCGCUGCCCCGUCGCUGACCCUCGCGCGAAGCUGUGCGCGCACCGCGAGGAGACAUCUUUCCCGGCCGGGCCCUCCCGCGCCCGCCGCAGGCCCGGGCGGCGGGGUCGGGCCGGGGGCCGGGGGCGGCCCGCGCACACCCCUCCGUGGGGGGCGCCCCGACUCGCCGGGGGCGGGGUCACGUCCCACCCGGGGCCGCCGGGGGCACCGGCGCUGCGGAAACCUGAGCGUGGCCGGGGAGCGGGGGCUUCCUGGGCCACCUCCCCGGGCGCCUGCGGCCUGCGGUGGGCGCGCUGGCCGCCGCCGCCGCCGCCGCCCCCGGGCCGUCGCGAAGACCACUCGCGCGCCUGCUACCUGUGGACGCCCUGGUCAAGCGCCUGGAGCUCCUCCUCGGGGGCGGGGGGAGCCGAGCCCAGGACAGACAUGCUGCUCCCGAGUCCUGCCCCUUCCGAGCGGCGACGAGCGGCCAGAAGAGGAGGUCGGAUCCAGCCACCGUUUCCUCUGCUUCCCGGGUCGCCCUGACCCUCUCUGGAUACUGGCUUGAUCGACGGGAAGACCGAAGGCGACGCUCUGGGAUU
rnacentral:lncRNA from 1 species